UGCUGUGCCCCGUGAACAGGUCCUCCUUCUCUGGCGUCUGAUCCCCGCGUCCUGCCUGGGCUGCAGAUGUCAUUUAGGAAGUAGCACGGCAGGGACCCACCUGUGGCUGUGGUUUCAGCACAGAGCAGCACUUCAUCCCUUUUCAGGGCUGAAUAAUAUCCCAUCGAGUGGAUACAGCACCUUUUGUUUCCCCAGUCAUCUGUUGAUGGACAGGUUAUUUCUGGAGCUUCCCCUGAGGAUUCGGUGCUAUCCCUCCGCGGCACCUGACCUCUGGCCCGAGGUGGCCUGAUCCGGGGCUAAGCCCCUCCUGGCAGGUGAGCCUCUCACUUCGGCCUCUUUCCAACCCCACAGCCCGGGCCACUCAGACUUUGGCUUUAUGUGAAGAGAGACAGAGCCAUGGUCCCUCCCUGCAACCCCUGGGCGUGAGUCCCGCGUGGGCCUCGUGUGACCUUGGGCCAGGUCCUCCCUCGCUAGGCCUCUGAAAGGGGGAGGUGAAGGGCUCACCGGCCUGUGGUCUGCACACCAGUGGACCCGUGUCCCAGGAGGGAAAGGAAUCCAGCAGCUCUUUGAGCCAUUGAGGCCGUGGUGACAGCUCUGAGAUCCCUGACAGCUGCGCAGUAACAUCCUUGGCUAAGUGUUAACUUCGUCCCACAGGUAGGCCCAGGGCUAAGAAAUGUACUGUGACAGGAGAAUGUGUUUAGGAAAUGUGCAAACCAAAUGACCAGGAAGAGCUGCGCUUUUCAUAUCGCUUCAUACAGCCAGUGUACCUCGCAGCAGCCCCAGGCAACGCAGCCCACGCGGCCCUCGGCUUGCUUGUGUCCACUUGCCACGCACUUCCUGGGCCGAGGCCCUGGGGUGGGCCAGGGAAGAGCAGGGGACAGUCAGAGCGGAUGGCGCCCCUGUCCCUUCCUGAUCUGCCCUCCGUCCUCUGGAAGCUAAAGAAGGAUGGAGCUUUGUUCAUCACCAGGCCCCCUGCAUUCCGCAGCCUGGCACCUAUCACGGGGUAGGAGCUCAAUACAUGUUGGUUCAAGUGUGGUUCUUAAGAAAUGAAAGGACCAGAGCCCUGGAAGUGCCCUCUCCAUCAGACAGCAAGUGUUUGGAAUUCCUCCAGCAGCCCCUCCUUGGGGUUGAAAUUUCCUGUUAAUACAGACAAGUUUCUAUCAGCACCGCAGGCCAAAAGCUCUUCCCAGCGAUCCAGGAAGGGGGGAAACUGGGGUACAUGUUAGGCCAGGGCCAGGGGGCCCUUCCUCCCAGGGCACAAGGACACUAGCCAGAGAGGCCAGCCAAGGGCAGGGGGAAGGUCAUUUCCUGUAAGUGCCUGUCACCUUCAGGAAGGACAGGCUUUAAGGGGUCGCACUCAGCCAGGAAAGAAGUCAUCAUAGGAGAUCCCCUCGCGGCUCGGUGGAAAUGAGUCUGAUUAGCAUCCAUGAGGAGGCAGGUUGGAUCUCUGGCCUCGCUCAGUGGGUUAGGAUCU